rnacentral:rRNA from 1 species
CACGUAGGGCGCGAGCGUUGUCCGGAAUUAUUGGGCGUAAAGAGCUCGUAGGCGGCCUGUUGCGUCCGCUGUGAAAGCCCGGGGCUUAACCCCGGGUCGGCAGUGGAUACGGGCUAGCUAGAGUGUGGUAGGGGAGAUCGGAAUUCCUGGUGUAGCGGUGAAAUGCGCAGAUAUCAGGAGGAACACCGGUGGCGAAGGCGGAUCUCUGGGCCAUUACUGACGCUGAGGAGCGAAAGCGUGGGGAGCGAACAGG